UACGAAGGGGGCUAGCGUUGUUCGGAAUUACUGGGCGUAAAGCGCACGUAGGCGGAUAUUUAAGUUAGGGGUGAAAUCCCAGGGCUCAACCCUGGAACUGCCUUUAAUACUGGGUAUCUCGAGUCCGAGAGAGGUGAGUGGAAUUCCGAGUGUAGAGGUGAAAUUCGCAGAUAUUCGGAGGAACACCAGUGGCGAAGGCGGCUCACUGGCUCGGUACUGACGCUGAGGUGCGAAAGCGUGGGGAGCAAACAGG
rnacentral:rRNA from 1 species